GUCUACAGCCAUACCACCCUGAACGCGGCCGAUCUCGUCUGAUCUUGAAAGCUAAGCAGGGUUGGGCCUAGUUAGUACUUGGAUGGGAGACCGCCUGGGAAUACCAGGUGCUGUAGGCU
rnacentral:rRNA from 1 species